CGCCUGCUCCUGCGCGCUCUGAGGCUGGGUCCUGUCCAUCCCGUGGCUUCUACGACCCAGUUGACUUCACAUCCGCGAUCGUGAGCCGGGGCGUGUGAAGGAGGCCUAGUUUUAGGAUGUUCGAACCGGAUCUAAGCAGCCUGAGGUUCCCUUUCCCCAGCCUCCGUCUUUUGAUUCAAAGGGAUGAAGUUGCUUUCCUGUCCCAGUUCUCCGGACUCACUCCUGCCCUUCUGGCCAAGGUGGACUGAAGAAAACAGGGAGCCUGCCUGCGUCACAUGCCCUUACAGUGAGGAUGGUUUGUAAUUGGCCAGAAAUGAACCAGGAUUGUGUUGACACGCCACUCACUGCUUGGAACGUAAAUCCCUGGCUUGGAGUCUGACAAAUGUUAUAAAAUCUAUGAUAUUUGAUCGCCAAAUAUCAUAAACUAUCCCACACUGAGAGCCAUACUUAUAGUUAUUGGGAUACAAUGAAGAAAAUGCCAAGAUAAGCUUGGCGAUAAGGGUUAUGAUUACCAUAACCGGAAUAGUGUUCGAGAGUCUGCUUUGAAAAGGAGUGACUAGUGUCAACAGAAACGGUACAAUCCGGUCAGUUGCGUGAAAAGAAAAGACUGUUAGGACCAACAUAGCUUGGAGUAAACAGGAAUGGUAGCAUUGGAUGUGUUCACCUCACCCCACUGUAACAAAGGAGAUGGUGUUCUGAUCCGUGCUUGUCAUGCUCGGACUUAUGUGCAGCAGUUAAUGGGGUGAGUAUCAGAGCAGGUCCACCAUCACUGCCAAAAUGGCCAAUGAUUUACAUCUUCAUGAACCCUCUAGUCAGGACAUAACAAAUGGUGUUAUUCUGGAUGAAUUUGCAAAGGAAUGAAAAUGUAAAGACAAUGAUAUUAAAUAUAGACAAACAGGAUCUGUACAUGUGUAGUAAGGUGUCUUGGUUUGUCUCUCAUGGAAGAGAACAAUUUAAGGACUGAAUUACAUUUCAUCAUUUCAUCUCCUUGUGGUCAACGAAGAAGCUGUAAAUUACACUAAAGGCCAAGAGGGGUCCUCAGCCACGCUCUAUCCACCGAUGAGACUUUAAAUUCAGUUUAUAGUUUAUUACUUUCUUUGUUUACCUUGAUAUUUAUAAUUGUAAAAUUGCAUUAUAAAAUACAUUCACAUAAUU
rnacentral:lncRNA from 1 species